UGAACGGUGUGACGUCAUACCGUUUGUUUUGGUUUGGUUUGCCAUACGAUUUUGCAAGAAAUCUCAGUUUCUCGCAUAAAAUCGUUAAAAAUUUGGUUUAUUACUGAAAAAAUAGCAGUUAAAGAUAUUGUCGGAAUUGCCAUAAACUGCGACCAGCACUGACGAACAGAGGACGGUCUCCUUGCGGAACUAAGAACGUGGACCUAACCGAUAGUGGCCGUACCAAGGACUUGAAGGAAAACCGGUGCCAGUGGCCGGAAGCAGUCCGUCGGAUGGGAUACUGCUGAAGCGAUCAGCAGCAGCAGCAGCGUCAACAUUACAAAUGCAGCAGUAGUCUCCACCGGAGAACCAGGCCGAGUAGAAACCCAUCCAGUCCGUGCUGGCUGCGAACCGCGGCGAAAUCGCUACCAUGUCUUCCUAGUGUGUAACGAGCUGGGCAUGCCGUCGGUGGCCAUCUACUCCGAGCAGAAUCGCCAGCACAUGCACCGACAGAAGGCCGACGAGUCGUACAUCGAUGGCAAGGGCCUAGCCCCGGUCGAGGUCUGCAACACAUUCCAGAAAUUAUCCGGGUGUGCAAGGAGAACGACGUCGACGACAUGCACCCCGGUUAAGGGUCAUAUCGGUCCAUCACCUAAGGUUGUCCAGCAGAUGGGAGACAAAGUGGCCGCCCGUAAGGCUGCCAUUGAAGCAGGCGUUCUAAUCGUACCGGAAACGGACGGUCCCGUGACUAUCAAGGUGGAAGUGUUGGUUUUUUGCAAGAAGCACGGAUUUCCCGUGAUCUUCAAGGCAGUGUUAAGUGGAAGUAGCCGUGGAAAGGGAAGUGUGAAAAAUGGUAGAGGUCGGGGACAACUUCGAGCGAGCGAGUUCGGAGGCGAAGGCUUCCGUCGGUAAUGGUGCCAUGCUUAUUGGAAGGUUCAUCGAACGACCUAGGCAUAUUGAGUUGCAACUGUUGGAUGACAAAGCUGGCAACGUCAGAUAUGAAAACGCCGGAAUGGUGGAGGUCCUUUGAGACGGCAACUUCUACUCAUCAAAGUGAACGCCCGUCUGCAAGUGGAGCACCGGAAUUGAUUUCGUUUAGUUGGGACUAAAUCUAAAAUCCGUGUCGCCGAGGGAAUCACGCUGGCAGAGUUGGGAUACACUCAUGAUAUCAUUAAAACUCCCCAACAGCAGCAACCGCUAAUACAGCCUAAUUACGAAGAACAACA
rnacentral:misc_RNA from 1 species